ACGGGGCUAAACCAUGCACCGAAGCUGCGGCAGCGACGCUGAUGCGUUGUUGGGUAGGGGAGCGUUCUGUAAGCCUGCGAAGGUGGCCUGUGAGGGUUGCUGGAGGUAUCAGAAGUGCGAAUGCUGACAUAAGUAACGAUAAAGCGGGUGAAAAGCCCGCUCGCCGGAAGACCAAGGGUUCCUGUCCAACGUUAAUCGGGGCAGGGUGAGUCGACCCCUAAGGCGAGGCCGAAAGGCGUAGUCGAUGGGAAACGGGUUAAUAUUCCCGUACUUGGUGUUACUGCGAAGGGGGGACGGAGAAGGCUAUGUUGGCCGGGCGACGGUUGUCCCGGUUUAAGCGUGUAGGUGUGUGUUCCAGGUAAAUCCGGUUCACUUUAACACUGAGGCGUGACGACGAGGCACUACGGUGCUGAAGCAACAAAUGCCCUGCUUCCAGGAAAAGCCUCUAAGCAUCAGGUAACAUCAAAUCGUACCCCAAACCGACACAGGUGGUCAGGUAGAGAAUACCAAGGCGCUUGAGAGAACUCGGGUGAAGGAACUAGGCAAAAUGGUGCCGUAACUUCGGGAGAAGGCACGCUGACACGUAGGUGAAGUGAUUUACUCAUGGAGCUGAAGUCAGUCGAAGAUACCAGCUGGCUGCAACUGUUUAUUAAAAACACAGCACUGUGCAAACACGAAAGUGGACGUAUACGGUGUGACGCCUGCCCGGUGCCGGAAGGUUAAUUGAUGGGGUCAGCGCAAGCGAAGCUCCUGAUCGAAGCCCCGGUAAACGGCGGCCGUAACUAUAACGGUCCUAAGGUAGCGAAAUUCCUUGUCGGGUAAGUUCCGACCUGCACGAAUGGCGUAAUGAUGGCCAGGCUGUCUCCACCCGAGACUCAGUGAAAUUGAACUCGCUGUGAAGAUGCAGUGUACCCGCGGCAAGACGGAAAGACCCCGUGAACCUUUACUAUAGCUUGACACUGAACAUUGAGCCUUGAUGUGUAGGAUAGGUGGGAGGCUUUGAAGUGUGGACGCCAGUCUGCAUGGAGCCGACCUUGAAAUACCACCCUUUAAUGUUUGAUGUUCUAACGUGGACCCGUGAUCCGGGUUGCGGACAGUGUCUGGUGGGUAGUUUGACUGGGGCGGUCUCCUCCUAAAGAGUAACGGAGGAGCACGAAGGUUGGCUAAUCCUGGUCGGACAUCAGGAGGUUAGUGCAAUGGCAUAAGCCAGCUUGACUGCGAGCGUGACGGCGCGAGCAGGUGCGAAAGCAGGUCAUAGUGAUCCGGUGGUUCUGAAUGGAAGGGCCAUCGCUCAACGGAUAAAAGGUACUCCGGGGAUAACAGGCUGAUACCGCCCAAGAGUUCAUAUCGACGGCGGUGUUUGGCACCUCGAUGUCGGCUCAUCACAUCCUGGGGCUGAAGUAGGUCCCAAGGGUAUGGCUGUUCGCCAUUUAAAGUGGUACGCGAGCUGGGUUUAGAACGUCGUGAGACAGUUCGGUCCCUAUCUGCCGUGGGCGCUGGAGAACUGAGGGGGGCUGCUCCUAGUACGAGAGGACCGGAGUGGACGCAUCACUGGUGUUCGGGUUGUCAUGCCAAUGGCACUGCCCGGUAGCUAAAUGCGGAAGAGAUAAGUGCUGAAAGCAUCUAAGCACGAAACUUGCCCCGAG
rnacentral:rRNA from 1 species